rnacentral:lncRNA from 1 species
UGGAAAUUAAGUGGAUUAAUAGCCACAUUUGUUGUCACUUUAUCAGCCUAUAAAUAGAGGCUUGAACUUGUGUUGUAAUGAAGAAAAAAUGAGAAGAAAAAAGAAAUAAGAGAAGCAACGUGAGUGAGAGUGAGAAGGUUAGCAAACAUUGAGUGAGUUAAAAUCUAGCAGCAGCUAGACUAUCUAGUCAUUGAGAAAAUAUUUGUAAUCUUCGUAUUGUAAUAUAUUGAGUGUGUAAUAAAAAGUAAAUUUUCGGCCCAUCACGUUUCCAACAAGUGGCAUCAGAGCUACGGUUCGGAGCUUGGUUCGGAGUUCGGUUCGUGUCCGGUUCGUGUCCAGUUCGGAGUACCUUUGGUGUUCAUCUAACAAGUCGAUAUGGGCGACGUAAUUCAGCUACAAGUUCCACAAUUGACGAAGACAAAUUAUGGAAAUUGGAGCAUUCGAAUGAAGGCUUUGCUCGGUUCGCAAGAUUGUUGGGAGAUCGUUGAAAAAGGAUACAUCGAGCCCGGAGAUGCCGCUAC